CUCAGGGAUCUGAAAGACGCUCUAGUCGAUCCUUUCCAUUUUUACAGAUGAGGCAAACGAGGGCCAGAUGGAGAUGUCUAGUUCUAGGGCACACAGGUGUGGGAAGUUCCUGGUGUAGAAAAUGCCUCUUGUGAUCAGCAGCACAUCAAGCUGAAGCAGUAUGGUAGCCUGAGGACGAUAUGGGAAGCAACAUGUGCCAGGAAAAUCAGGGUCAUGCUUGGGGAUUGCUUGAAGAUCAUUGAGGCAAAAAGAUUUCACAUCUAACAAGUGUCAGAGGCAGGAUUAGGACUCGUUUUUUUUGACACCAUAUCCAAUACUCCAUUGAUGACUCCAAUAUAAUAAUAUUAUUUUAAAAAAGAAA